GUCAAAAAAAGGUAAGCUACUAAGAGCGAAUGGUGGAUGCCUUGGUUGGUAGAGGCGAUGAAAGACGUGCUAGACUGCGAUAAGUCUCGGGGAGUUGUCAAGGAGCUUUGAUCCGGGAAUUUCUGAAUGGGGAAACCCAGUAUAUAGUGAUAUAUACUACCUAUAUGGAGCAAACGUGGGGAAUUGAAACAUCUUAGUACCCACAGGAAAAGAAAUCAAAUGAGAUUACGAAAGUAGCGGCGAGCGAAAUCGUAAAAGGGCAAACCACUAGUUUACUAGUGGGGUUGUAGGACUGUAACAUAGACUAAAAAGAGUUAAUAGAAUAAUCUGGAAAGUUUAAGCAUAGAGGGUGAUACUCCCGUAUAUGAAAACUCUUUUUUACUUAACAGUAUCCUGAGUAGGGCGAGGCACGUGAAACCUUGUCUGAAUCUGGGAAGACCACUUUCCAACCCUAAAUACUACUACCAAACCGAUAGUGAACAAGUACCGUGAGGGAAAGGUGAAAAGAACGGGGGUGACCCGAGUGAAAUAGAACCUGAAACCAUUUGCUUACAAUCAUUCAGAGCACGAUUCUUUAUGACGUGUGAUGGACUGCCUUUUGCAUAAUGAGCCUGCGAGUUGUGAUAUCUGGCAAGGUUAAGGAAAUCCGGAGCCGUAGCGAAAGCAAGUCUUAAUAGGGCGUUUAGUCAGAUAUUGCAGACCCGAAACGAAGUGAUCUAUCCAUGAGCAGGUUGAAACCGGUGUAAGAGCCGGCGGAGGACCGAACCCGCUGACGUUGAAAAGUCUUGGGAUGACUUGUGGAUAGGGGUGAAAGGCCAAUCAAACUUCGUGAUAGCUGGUUCUCUCCGAAAUAUAUUUAGGUAUAGCGUUAUGUAGUAAUUAGAGGGGGUAGAGCACUGAAUGGGCUAGGGCAUACACCAAUGUACCAAACCCUAUCAAACUCCGAAUACCUUUAAUGUAAUCAUAGCAGUCAGGCGGCGAGUGAUAAAAUCCGUCGUCAAGAGGGGAACAACCCAGACUACCGACUAAGGUCCCAAAAUCUUAUUUAAGUGGAAAACGAUGUGAAGUUACUUAAACAACCAGGAGGUUGGCUUAGAAGCAGCCAUCCUUUAAAGAUAGCGUAAUAGCUCACUGGUCUAGUGAUUUUGCGCGGAAAAUAUAACGGGGCUAAAAUAAGUACCGAAGUCGUAGACUUAGUUUUACUAAGUGGUAGGAGAGCGUUGUAUUUAGCGUUGAAGAUGUACCGGUAAGGAGCGUUGGAGCAAAUACAAGUGAGCAUGCAGGCAUGAGUAGCGUUAAAUCAGGUGAGAAUCCUGAUCGCCGAAAACCCAAGGUUUCCUACGCGAUGCUCGUCAUCGUAGGGUUAGUCGGGUCCUAAGCAAAGUCCGAAAGGGGUAUGCGAUGGAAAAUUGGUUAAUAUUCCAAUACCAAUUAUUAUGUGCGAUGGAAGGACGCUUAAAGUUAGUGGAGCUAACUGAUGGAAUAGUUAGUCUAAGGUCGUAGGUUGAGUUAUAGGCAAAUCCGUAACUCUUUAUCCGAAAGCUUAAAGGCUUACAAAGCUCUUCGGAGUAGCGUAAGAAUCCAUGAUACUAUAGAGCCAAGAAAAGUUUCUAAGUUUAGUAAUAAUUGCCCGUACCGUAAACCGACACAGGUGGGUGGGAUGAGUAUUCUAAGGCGCGUGGAAGAACUCUCUUUAAGGAACUCUGCAAAAUAGCACCGUAUCUUCGGUAUAAGGUGUGCCUACCAGGGUGCAAGCCCUAGAGGUUACAACAAAGAGUCCCUCCCGACUGUUUACCAAAAACACAGCACUCUGCUAACACGUAAGUGGAUGUAUAGGGUGUGACGCCUGCCCGGUGCUCGAAGGUUAAUUGAUGGAGUUAGCAUUAGCAAAGCUCUUGAUCGAAGCCCGAGUAAACGGCGGCCGUAACUAUAACGGUCCUAAGGUAGCGAAAUUCCUUGUCGGUUAAAUACCGACCUGCAUGAAUGGCGUAACGAGAUGGGAGCUGUCUCAAAGAGGGAUCCAGUGAAAUUGUAGUGGAGGUGAAAAUUCCUCCUACCCGCGGCAAGACGGAAAGACCCCGUGGACCUUUACUAUAGCUUGACACUGCUACUUGGAUAAAGAUGUGCAGGAUAGGUGGGAGAUUAUGAUCUAUAGAUGCUAGUCUAUAAGGAGUCAUCCUUGAGAUACCACUCUUCUUUAUUCGGGUAGCUAACUAGCCUAAGUUAUCCUUAGGUAGGACAAUGUCUGGUGGGUAGUUUGACUGGGGCGGUCGCCUCCCAAAUAAUAACGGAGGCUUACAAAGGUUGGUUCAAAACGGUUGGAAAUCGUUUGUAGAGUAUAAAGGCAAAAACCAGCUUAACUGCGACACCGACAAGUGGAGCAGAGACGAAAGUCGGUCUUAGUGAUCCGGUGGUUCUGUGUGGAAGGGCCAUCGCUCAAAGGAUAAAAGGUACCCCGGGGAUAACAGGCUGAUCUCCCCCAAGAGCUCACAUCGACGGGGAGGUUUGGCACCUCGAUGUCGGCUCAUCGCAUCCUGGGGCUGGAGCAGGUCCCAAGGGUAUGGCUGUUCGCCAUUUAAAGCGGUACGCGAGCUGGGUUCAGAACGUCGUGAGACAGUUCGGUCCCUAUCUGCCGUGGGCGUAAGAAGAUUGAGGAGAGUUGACCCUAGUACGAGAGGACCGGGUUGAACCAACCACUGGUGUAUAAGUUGUCCUGCCAAGGGCACCGCUUAGUAGCUAAGUUGGGAUGUGAUAAGAGCUGAAAGCAUCUAAGCUCGAAGCCAACUCCAAGAUUAAUCUUCUUUUAAGAGCUCUUAUAGACUAUAAGUUUGAUAGGCUGGGUGUGUAAUUGAUGUAAGUCAUUUAGCUGACCAGUACUAAUAGCUCGUUUGCUUAUCUAUUUU
rnacentral:rRNA from 1 species